UAACAAAACUGGUUUUUUAUAUUUGUUUUAUGCUUUUGUCAAGCCUAUUGUAAUAAAUUCAUCGUUCAACGGCUAUGCCUUUUACGGCUAUCUUUUGGCUUGAUUCUGGUUUUUAUUUUUUUUGUGUCAUUAUUUAAUUCAACCUUUUAUUCAGUUAUUAUCCUCAUGACCAGGGAAUCCAAUUAAAGUCUAGAUAAUUGAUUUCAACAAUUGAUUUGCCAUUAUAAAUAGUCUACUUUCAGUGUAAACAAAAAUGGCUGUUAACGCUGUUUUUGUGUGCCUUGGCUGUUUGUAAAGGCAAGAGUUACAAAAAAACAUAUGGUGCUAGCUAAAUAUUAGCUCAUCAAAGGAUUAACUUUAUUUGUUCUUUUCAUGCUUUUAUCCUGUGUUUCAUCUGAUUCAAUGUUCAACCAGAUAAUUCCCUGUUGUACAUGAUAAUUGAUCUUUUGGUAUUAACAUGGAAUCCUGAUUAAUAAAUCAGCUAUAAUUUGGAUGGACCAGAAACCAUGGUUUUAAUUACCAAUGCUGCUUUGUAACGCCUUCAGUCAUGUAUAUUUUCAUGACAUUUACACUUACCCAGGGAAGCAAUUCUCAGAGAGUGACGACUUUGGAACCCAGCCUGUAUUACUUUCUAAUAUAAUGUUCCAAUAUUGAUUAUCGAUUCAAGCUUUACGUCAUUUACUGUUAUCAUAUUAAUAAAUCAUCACUUUGUUGAUUCGAAGUAAUCAUCAACAACAACCUGAUCAUAAUCAGUUUGACAUUCAACUCCAGGUUAACUCAAAAGUCUUCCGGAUUUCAAUCAUAACAAUUUAACCAAUAACCAAAUAGUCAACAGAAUGAUGGAUCAAUUUAACCCAAGCAAUACAAGUAAACUUGAAGCAAGCAAACCAACCUCAAGCCAAAGCCACUUUGAUGUUGCAAAGUCAAAACUUACUAUUUAAUAGGAAUUAGCGUUUUUGUCAGACAAAAGUGUAGGUGGAUUAAAUGGCUGGUUAACUUAAUCACCAUUUAAACAGUUAAUCAGUUAAAUAUUUUUCUUUAAAAAAUGAUCCUUUUAUACUCAUAACUACCCAAGAAUCAUCAUCAUUCACAAUAAACCAUUUUUUAACCUUUUUUCAAGUGUACAAAAGACUUGCACCUUAAAAAAAGGUUAAAUUCAGCUUAAUCAUCAUUAAUAUUAUCAUUAUUAUUAAAUUAAUAGUUUCUGUUUACAUUUUCAAUCAUUAAUGAUUAAUUCUUGAUUGAUUUUUGGUUUAAAUGAGAUUAGCUAAUUGAUUAAAUUGUACCUUAAAGCCUCUUCUCUGGCCUUCCUGGAGUCCAUCAGUUAACCAGAUAUUGUUGGGUUAUUGAAUGAUUAUCAAAUUUUAAUCAACCAUUCUCAUGAUUUGAUUUGAUCAAUUCACAAUUUUUCAACUUUAAUUUCAUUGAGGAGAGAUUAGACCAAAAGCAAGCCAUUGAAUAGCCAUUUGGAGCUAAAUUUACUUGAAAUUAAUUCCAUUGCUUGAAAAGAUUAAUGACAAUUUAAAAUGAUAAAUGAAUCGCAUCAUGUAUUUUGGUUUUGUUUUCACUAUAAUCAACAACUUGUUAAUCAGUGAUUAUUGAAAUCGCGUGGGAACCUAAUUAUGCAAUUAUAUUGGGUUGAUUUGUUCAAAUGUAUAAUAAUAUUCUGUGUUAAUUAUUCA